rnacentral:rRNA from 1 species
GAUGAACGCUGGCGGCGUGCUUAACACAUGCAAGUCGAACGGAAAGGCUCCUGCUUGCAGGGGUACUCGAGUGGCGAACGGGUGAGUAACACGUGGGUGAUCUGCCCUGCACUUCGGGAUAAGCCUGGGAAACUGGGUCUAAUACCGGAUAGGACGAUGGCUUGGAUGCCAUUGUGGAAAGCUUUUCGGGGUGCGGUGAGCUCGCGGCCUAUCAGCUUGUUGGUGGGGUAAUGGCCUACCAAGGCGUCGACGGGUAGCCGGCCUGGGAGGGUGUACGGCCACAAUGGGACUGAGAGGCGGCCCAGACUCCGACGGGAGGCAGCAGUGGGGAAUAUUGCACAAUGGGCGCAAGGCUGAUGCAGCGACGCCGCGUGGGGGAUGACGGCCUUCGGGUUGUAAACUCCUUUCGCUAGGGACGAAGCGUUUUGUGACGGUACCUGGAGAAGAAGCACCGGCUAACUACGUG